CCCGCAGCUCACCCCGCUUUCCUCUUCCAACGUAACCUGUCGGUAUAGAACAAAAGUAUACUCGCAUUUUGCUAUCAUACAGUAUUUAAAUUUAUUUCAGGCA